rnacentral:tRNA from 1 species
GGUCCCAUGGUGUAGUGGCUAGCCCUCAGGACUUUGAAUCCUGCGACUUGAGUUUGAAUCUCGGUGGGACCU